rnacentral:rRNA from 1 species
CACGUAGGCGGCAGAGUAAGUCAAAGGUGAAAGCCCUCGGCUCAACCGAGGAACUGCCUUUGAAACUGCCCUGCUUGAGUCCGGGAGGGGGGAGCGGAAUUCCCAGUGUAGCGGUGAAAUGCGUAGAUACUGGGAGGAACACCGGUGGCGAAGGCGGCUCCCUGGACCGGUACUGACGCUGAGGUGCGAAAGCGUGGGGAGCAAACA